rnacentral:rRNA from 1 species
GACGAACCGUGCGAACGUUGUUCGGAAUCACUGGGCAUAAAGGGCGCGUAGGCGGCUUAUCAAGUCAGGGGUGAAAUCCGGCAGCUCAACUGUCGAAGUGCCUUUGAUACUGAUGAGCUCGAGGGAGGUAGGGGUGUGCGGAACUUCCGGUGGAGCGGUGAAAUGCGUAGAUAUGCGGAGGAACACCGAUGGCGAAGGCAGCUUGCUGGGCCGACCCUGACGCUAAGGCACGAAAGCGUGGGGAGCGAACAGG